UACGGGGGGGGCAAGCGUUGUUCGGAAUUACUGGGCGUAAAGGGCUCGUAGGCGGCCAACUAAGUCGGAUGUGAAAUCCCCAGGCUCAACCUGGGAACUGCAUCCGAUACUGGAUGGCUUGAAUCCGGGAGAGGGAUGCAGAAUUCCAGGUGUAGCGGUGAAAUGCGCAGAUAUCAGGAGGAACACCGGUGGCGAAGGCGGGUCUCUGGGCCGAUACUGACGCUGGAGGAGCGAAAGCGUGGGGAGCGAACAGG
rnacentral:rRNA from 1 species